UGACCCUAUGCAUCACAAACCAUGUGAGGACUUAAAUGACAUCGUAAACAUGUAAGUUCUUCCUAUUAUUUUUCAUAGUAUUAUUUUUAAAUAAAAAAAUACAUUCACCUCAAACACAUUUUUUUUAUUAUUUAUAUAUAUUAAAACAUAUAACAUUUACCUAUUUUAAAAAUGUACCCAUUGAACUUAUUUACAUAGGGCUCUUCGAAUAUUUGCAAAGAAAACAUCUAAGAGGGAGCCAUCUUAGCAACUAGUGCAGUGUCCAAGACAAGAAGGAGGGUUCGAAUGUGGCUACUUUGUUAUGAGAUUCAUUAAAGAGAUAAUUUUUUAUCCUACAAUUAUUGCUUCAAAGUUUGGUGAUAAAAAAAAAAAAACAUAUUCUCAAGUAGAAUUCGAUGAAAUUAGAGGAGAAUGGGCUACUUUUGUGCUACAACUAAUCAUGAAUCAUGUUGAUGCAUCAUGAUCACCAUGCAUGGUAUACACUCUUGGGAGGGUGAAAUGGAGAAUAAAAAAAAAAAAAGAAGGCAACAAGAUUUUGGGUUUUUAAAUGCAACUCUUAUGUCAUACGUUAUAGGACAUAAACGUUACUUUAAUUGCAACUGAGAAAUUUAGA